rnacentral:lncRNA from 1 species
UUGAUCAAUUAACUCCUAGUAAUACGAAAAGACAAAAAAAUUUACCAAUCAAACAUGUCAGGCAAAGCUCAACAAACCAUUCAAUUACUGCUUCUGGCCACUUGGAUUGCAAUGUUGGUGCAACCAAGUCACACCCAGCUAUUACCUGGAUUUCCAGGAAUUCCUGGACUUCUAGGAACUUCUCAAAUUAACCAGUGUUUGGCGUCUUUUAGUGGCAUUGAAGGAUGCUUGCUGUCACUUUUCACUUUUCCAAUUGGAGGUCUUACCCCUUCCUCUUCUUGCUGCAAUGCAAUUCUAAAUAUCAGCAAGAGUUGUUGGUCGGUCUUUUUCCCCUUAGCCCCUUAUACUCCACAACUGAUUCAGAAUUUUUGCGACACUCCAAAGGCAUUC